UCGUCCGUCGUGUGUGCGCGGGUGUUAAUUUCCUGAACCGAUGCUCAUUGAGCAAGGGCUUGGAACAUCGCUCGGUUGGUGUGAGCGUCUCGCGUCAGAUGAACCCGAAACCUUGCUGACCUCGCCCACCUGAACUUCGCUAAGGUUCGGGGAUGCGGCCCGCGGCGCACGGCGGACACC
rnacentral:other from 1 species